rnacentral:rRNA from 1 species
AAUGAACGUUGGCGGCAUGGAUUAGGCAUGCAAGUCGGGGGAAUCCCAGCAAUGGGGGAACCGGCGUAAGGGGCAGUAAGGCAUGGGUACCUACCUUGGGGUUCGGGAUAGCCAUCAGAGAUGGUGGGUAAUACCGGAUGACGUCGUGAGACCAAAGAUUUAUCGCCCUUAGAGGGGCCCAGGUGAUAUUAGCUAGUGGGUGGGGUAACGGCCCACCAAGGCGAAGAUGUCUAGCGGGUGUGAGAGCACGACCCGCGCCACUCGCACUGAGACACUGGCUAGAAACCUACGGGUGGCUGCAGUCGAGGAUCUUCGGCAAUGAGCGCAAGCGUGAACGAGCGAUGCCGCGUGAGCGAUGAAGGCCUUCGGGUUGUAAAGCUCUUUAGUGGGGGAGAAAAGCCGCAAGGUGUGAUCUAUCCCAAAAAUAAGCACGGGCUAAGUUCGUGCCAGCAGCCGCAGUAA